rnacentral:rRNA from 1 species
AGAGUUUGAUCCUGGCUCAGAACGAACGCUGGCGGCAGGCUUAACACGUGCAAGUCGAGCGAUCGCAGCAAUGCGGGAGCGGCAGACGGGUGAGUAACGCGUGGGAACAUACCCUCCGGUUCGGAAUAGCUCAGGGAAACUUGGAUUAAUACCGGAUACGGCCGAGAGGCGAAAGAUUUAUCGCCGGAGGAUUGGCCCGCGUUCGAUUAGCUAGUUGGUGAGGUAACGGCCCACCAAGGCGACGAUCGAUAGCUGGUCUGAGAGGAUGAUCAGCCACAUUGGGACUGAGACACGGCCCAAACUCCUACGGGAGGCAGCAGUGGGGAAUAUUGGACAAUGGGCGCAAGCCUGAUCCAGCCAUGCCGCGUGAGUGAUGACGGCCUUAGGGUUGUAAAGCUCUUUCGCUAGGGACGAUAAUGACGGUACCUAGACAAGAAGCCCCGGCUAACUUCGUGCCAGCAGCCGCGGUAAUACGAAGGGGGCUAGCGUUGUUCGGAAUUACUGGGCGUAAAGCGCGUGUAGGCGGGCGUUUAAGUCAGGGGUGAAAUGCCAAGGCUCAACCUUGGAACUGCCUUUGAUACUGGAUGUCUUGAGUCCGGGAGAGGUGAGUGGAACUGCGAGUGUAGAGGUGAAAUUCGUAGAUAUUCGCAAGAACACCAGUGGCGAAGGCGGCUCACUGGCCCGGAACUGACGCUGAGACGCGAAAGCGUGGGGAGCAAACAGGAUUAGAUACCCUAGUAGUCC